rnacentral:rRNA from 1 species
AGAGUUUGAUCCUGGCUCAGGAUGAACGCUGGCGGCGUGCCUAAUACAUGCAAGUCGAGCGAACCACUUCGGUGGUGAGCGGCGAACGGGUGAGUAACACGUAGGUGAUCUGCCCAUCAGACGGGGACAACGAUUGGAAACGAUCGCUAAUACCGGAUAGGACGAAAGUUUAAAGGUGCUUCUGGCACCGCUGAUGGAUGAGCCUGCGGCGCAUUAGCUAGUUGGUAGGGUAAAGGCCUACCAAGGCGACGAUGCGUAGCCGACCUGAGAGGGUGAACGGCCACACUGGGACUGAGACACGGCCCAGACUCCUACGGGAGGCAGCAGUAGGGAAUCUUCGGCAAUGGGCGAAAGCCUGACCGAGCAACGCCGCGUGAAUGAUGAAGGCCUUCGGGUUGUAAAAUUCUGUUAUAAGGGAAGAACGACUUUAGUAGGAAAUGGCUAGAGUGUGACGGUACCUUAUGAGAAAGCCACGGCUAACUACGUGCCAGCAGCCGCGGUAAUACGUAGGUGACGAGCGUUAUCCGGAAUUAUUGGGCGUAAAGAGCGCGCAGGUGGUUGAUUAAGUCUGAUGUGAAAGCCCACGGCUUAACCGUGGAGGGUCAUUGGAAACUGGUCGACUUGAGUGCAGAAGAGGGAAGUGGAAUUCCAUGUGUAGCGGUGAAAUGCGUAGAGAUAUGGAGGAACACCAGUGGCGAAUGCGGCUUCCUGGUCUGUAACUGACACUGAGGCGAGAAAGCGUGGGGAGCAAACAGGAUUAGAUACCCUGGUAGUCCACGCCGUAAACGAUGAGUGCUAAGUGUUGGGGGUCGAACCUCAGUGCUGAAGUUAACGCAUUAAGCACUCCGCCUGGGGAGUACGGUCGCAAGACUGAAACUCAAAUGAAUUGACGG